UACAGUAGUAGCAGCAUAAAAUUUAGGUGAAACUGUGCAAUCACAGUACAAAGGCGGCCUCCAAACCCGGGAUAUCGCCAUGAAGGUUGUGGUCUUGUUGACAAUUCUUUUGUGCGUCCUAUGCUACGGAGUCUCGGGAAGAGGAAACAACAGGGCACCAGGAUGUAUAUGCACACAGGUCAGGACCCCAGUGUGCGGCAAAGAUGGGAAAACAUACCCGAACAGUUGUGAGGCCCGUUGCAAAAAUAUACUUGUCGCCAGCCAAGGAGCAUGCGAGGAUAAGCCCAAGUCACAAAACUGAAUGCGUGAUUUCUCAGCCACUUUAGUUGUCGAUGCGGAAUCAGCACUGGGUAUUUUCCCAUAAUA